rnacentral:rRNA from 1 species
AUUGGCUACCAUACCACGUUGAAAGCACCGGUUCUUGUCCGAUCACCGAAGUUAAGCAACCUUGGGCUCGGUUAGUACUUUCAAUGGUGACCGGCUGGGAAUACCGGGUGUUUCCGGCU